UUGACCUUAGCACAGUUGGUAGAGUGGUGGACUGUAGUUGGACUAAUCUAAAUUGGAAAUCCUUAGGUCGCUGGUUUGAUUCCGGCAGGUCGGA
rfam:Ipomoea nil DNA, scaffold: scaffold2701, cultivar: Tokyo-kokei standard.